AGCAGGAUGGCCUCAAAUUCACAGAGAUCUGCCUGCAUCUGCCUCCGAGUGCUGGGAUCAAAGACGUGCCCCACCACCUCUGGGCCAGAUUUCUGAAUCAGGUCACUCAAACCCACAAAGAUCCACAUUGUUCUUACCUACAGUAUUUUCUUGCUCCAGGUACAAAUUACAUGAGGGUGGGAUAAAACUAGGUGAAUCACUGGCCAGAGGUUCUCAGUUUCUGUCCCCAAGCAGAGAAUCUAGAUUCAUAGGAAACUGAGCCUUUCAGGUAGCAAUCAGGGGUAUUUGACAAUAUUUGGCCUCUAACCAAUAUCUCAGCUGCUUUCACAAGUAGUUUUUGUUUUUCAGGGUGUGUUUGUGUCUGACAAGAUCUUGCCAAGAUAGCCCAAAAGAACCCAGAUCUCUCUAUGUGGACUAUGCUGGUCUCGAAGCAUGGCAAUCCUCCUGCCUCUGCCUUCCAAGCACUGGGAUUACAGUGCUUCAAAAUAGAAUUCCGUGUUGUAACACCAAAGCCAUCUUCCAACCAUUGGUGACCAAGAACUGAAGAGUCGGGGAGACCUGCAGAAACACAUCCUUCUCCUGAUGUUUGCAGCUGGGCAAGCUAAAAAUCGCUUAGAACAAACAGUACACGUCAUCAAGGGCAGAGAGUUUUCAACCUUCAUUAAACAUACUGCCAAGAGGAGGCCAGGAAAGAUAGCAUUCUAAACUAAGAUGGCAGGAAAUCCCUCCUUUGUGGAAAGAUGGGAGCCAAUGGACCACUGAUGUCUGUGCCUCCUCCUCUUUAAGAUGGGUUGUUAUUGUUGCUUGGAGCACAGUGUGUGUGUGUGUGUGUGUGUGUGUGUGUGUGUGUGUGUGUGUGUGUGUGUGUUGCUUGUGGCUUCUGUUUUAAAGAAACAAAACAAACCAAAAUCUAAGUUUGUAGCUUGUAGUCGGGGAAGAAGAAAAGCUGAUGAGGUUUCAAUGGGGGGAAAGUGGCGGUCAGAGCGCCUGACCACCGCCUUCCCUUGCAAAUCUGGUUUUCAUAUUCCCCCGCUCAGUAAUCACCCAAGGCUAUAACUGUCUCUGAAAUUAUUCAUUAAAGUCAUUUUCAGGGAUUCUCA